UUUUGGUGACUCUCUGAACAUUUCUUCUUAGUUUUUGCUCUCCCCCACCCCCAAUUCUUGACUUCUAUGCAGAUUUAAGCUCUACUUAUUACCUUGAUGUUUUCCAUCCUAUAUAAUAUUGAGAUGAAGAUGCCUCCUUGGUGGAGGUAGUGAGACCAGGAGAGACAUUUGAGGUUCUUUCUUGCUUUCCCCACAUUGUCCCAUGACAAUCCCUGCCUGGCCUAGAGUCCAGGGGUGUCUUAGUCUGUUUGGGCAUCCAUAACAAAGUACUACAAACUGCUUAUAAACAACAGCAAUUUAUUUCUCCAAGCUCUAGAGGCCAGGAAGUUCAAGAUCAAGGCAUUGGCAGAUUCAGUAUGUGGUGAACACCCUUUUCCUGGUUCACAGAUGGCACCUUCUUGCUAUGUCUUCACAUAGCAGAAGGGGGAGGGAGCUUUCUGGGGUCCCUUUUAUAAGGGCACUAAUCUCAUUCAUAAGGACUUCACCCUCAUAUUUCAUCACCCCCUCCAAAGGCCCUGUCUCCUAAUGACAUCACACUGGUGACUAGGUUUGAACAUGUGAAUUUGGGGCUGGCACAAACAAAUAUUCAUUCCAUAGCAAAGAGUUUCCAUGUGAACAGCCCAAAAGUACAGCUCAGGUGAAAAGUUGAUGAAAACAGGUGCAGACUGCUCCCCUGUCUAAACCACGAGGUUGCUGAGGAGUCCAGAGGAGCUUGUCUCCCUCCAAGGCACCUGCCCACUAAGGGUUAGAGAUGGAGACCUGGCCUGGCCUAGAGCCACCUGGUACACAGGCAGCAGUUCAGAGUGGACUACACUGUGCCCUUCUGCCUGAGCCUGAGGUCUCCUGCAUCUCAUCUGGUCCCUUCUCCUUAAACUCACAAGGUGCCCACCCUAGGCCUGGCUUUUUACCCUUCCCCAAUCCACAGCAUCAAAUCAUGAUUCAAACUUUCAGGGAGCACUCUAGAAUAAAAGAAGAAAGGUAUUUAUAGGAAGCCAAAAAAAAAAAAAUGAGUACAUAACUCUUUCAAAAGAAAUUUCCAUCACUGACAUUAACGGGAACUGCCUCUUGGGUCCUCGAGAUGUUUACUUUUGCAAGGUAUCAGAACUCUUGGCCGCCCUCUAGCCCUUUCAUUACCUGAUUGGUCAAUUUAUGAAGACUAACGAGGCAUUCUCAGCUGUGCUUGGCCUUUCCUCCUCUUGGGAGUGAGCCGGCCUGAGGGUGCAGGAGCUCUCCUCAGCUUUCCUGGAGCAGGGGUCUGUCUGCCGCAGGCAGUGUUGCUCGGGCAGAGUGAGUAAACGGGCCCGGCUGCCAGUCAGAGAGUAAGCCCCUUUGACUCUCAUGCUAAGCUGCAUCCUCCACCUCAGACUCCCGUUAGUAAUAAAGGUGAGACUUUAGCUUCAAUAUUUACCUUUUUCUUUCAUUUUUCAACUAGUUUAGAACUUAUGCGCAAAAAAAAAAAAAAAAAAAAAAAAAA
rnacentral:lncRNA from 1 species